rnacentral:rRNA from 1 species
UACGUAGGGUGCGAGCGUUAAUCGGAAUUACUGGGCGUAAAGCGUGCGCAGGCGGUUUUGUAAGCCAGAUGUGAAAUCCCCGGGCUCAACCUGGGAAUGGCAUUUGGGACUGCAAGGCUUGAGUGCGGCAGAGGAGACUGGAAUUCCUGGUGUAGCAGUGAAAUGCGUAGAUAUCAGGAGGAAUACCGAUGGCAAAGGCAGGUCUCUGGGCUGACACUGACGCUCAUGCACGAAAGCGUGGGGAGCAAACAGG